ACACCACUGACUUUCCUAUAUACUUGCCCCCACCCCAGUUAGUGAUUGUUCUAACCCUUAGAUCAGAACAUCUCCACCUGAUUGCUGAUCAAAUGGGUAGUGAGAGCGUGCCCCUCGGCCAGUUUCCCUGGUAACCAAUGAGCCAACCAAUGUCAAUUCCCCCUCUAACUGGUAACCUCCCCCUCCCUCCAGGAGCUGCCCUGUCCCGCCUGCUGCCUGCCUGGUACGGUAGACUGUUGUUGUUUUGUGGCUGGAGUGGGAGCUGUCAUGUCCCGGGGCCUGCAGGCGUCCUUAACAUGGACUCACCGCCAAGUGAGGGUUCUUGGCUUCUCGACAGGGGGAAAGAAUUCAAGAGCCAGCCAAGGAAAAGCAAAGAGGAUUUGUCCUUACAGGGAGAGACUACCCAGGGCUGCAGUGGAGACCUCACCUUUCAGGAUCCAGUCAACUUCCAGAAUCAGGAAUCAUCCCAGGAGAAUGAAAAUAUGGAGAUCUUUUAGCCUACAACCUCAUGUGGCAAAAAGCCUGUUAUUGCUGCAGGUACUAAAGAAGAACGAAAUGAUCUCAAGCUAGGUCAUAAAAGAGAGAAAUCUAGGAGAUGGAGAACCUGGAGCAUUUAGCUUUUAUUGACACAUGGCUCAGCUUUUCAAUUGUAUCAAAUUCAAAGCAAUAAACACUCAUCCGGUGUCCAUCUCCCCAAGGUGCUCCAGGAGGCAUGGAGAGGCGGAGAGGAAAAAACACAGCAGGAAAGCCUCCAUAUACAUGUGGCCAUGCUUUGGGGAGAAAACCCAAGUGCACGUUGGUUAGGGCUAUAAGAUAGGAAUGUACAGUGUGCUGUGGGAACACAUACAGAAGCAUUUUAUUCUGCCUGGAGGGUGCCUGGGAAGCUUGGCGCCGAAUGACCGGACUGUCCCUGGCAAUAUGGAUUAAUAAGGCGCUAACUUUCAACCUUUUCUAAUUGAGACUUACAGUUCAAAAUUAUUUUAUAUGCCUAUUCUAAACACACAAACCCAUGCACAUGUACUUAAGUGUUACAAAAUAAUACUCUGUGAGGCACCCUUGUGUUUUGUUUUUUUUCCUUUCAUUCUGUUUUUAUUAUUGUAGAUGCUGGUUGAAACCCAUUUAACUGAGCAACCUUGAUCAAUUAAUGAAUUGGGAUCUCAACUUACAAAAUUCUGGAAUAAAGCAUGGUCUUUGAAG
ensembl:lncRNA